AAUUAAGUAGUUUAAUAAAAAUUUUAAAUUGUAAAUUUAAAGAUGGGUUCCCUUUAAUUA
rnacentral:tRNA from 1 species